UACGUAGGAGGCGAGCGUUGUCCGGAGUUACUGGGCGUAAAGGGUGCGCAGGCGGCUGUUUACGUUUGCCGUGAAAUCUCCUGGCUUACCUGGGAGGGUGCGGUGAAAACGGGACGGCUUGAGGCUCGGGGAGGGGCGUGGAAUUCCGGGUGGAGCGGUGAAAUGCGUAGAGAUCCGGAGGAACACCGACGGCGAAAGCACUCUGCUGGGCCGACACUGACACUGAGAGACGAAAGCUAGGGGAGCGAAUGGG
rnacentral:rRNA from 1 species